GUAGUCUCGCACAGAUGCAUAUCAAUAAGCGGAGGAAAAGAAACUAACAAGGAUUCCCCUAGUAACGGCGAGUGAAGCGGGAAGAGCUCAAAUUUGAAAUCUUAAAGGGUUUCCCUUUACGAAUUGUAGUUUAAAGAAGUGUUUUCUGUUGAGGUUUUGGUAAAAGUUCUUUGGAAUAGGACAUCAUAGAGGGUGAGAAUCCCGUAUUUGACCUUUACUUUCAACUUUGUGAUACACUUUCAAAGAGUCGGAUUGUUUGGGAAUGCAGUCCAAAAUGGGUGGUAAAUUUCAUCUAAAGCUAAAUAUUGGCGAGAGACCGAUAGCGAACAAGUACCGUGAGGGAAAGAUGAAAAGAACUUUGAAAAGAGAGUUAAACAGUACGUGAAAUUGUCAAAAGGGAAGCGUUUGACACCAGUGUUGUUUUUCUGAAAAUCAAUUAAAGAACUGUUUAUGCUAAGGCUGUUUAGACUUUAUCAGCUAAUCUGUUUAGUUUUGAGCUUUUCUUUAAUGCACUUUUCAGGUUAACAAGUCAACAUCAAUUUCUUUUGCCGUAAAAAAGCUUGAGGAAGGUGGCUUGAGAUUCGUCUUAAGUAUUUAUAGCCUCUUGCCUAUGCAGUCGGAGAGAUUGAGGUCUGCAGCGUAGAUCCUUCGGAGGCUAAAUGCAUUUGUGCUAAGUUAUAGCAUUUUAUAGACAACUUGCUGACUAUGAUUUGUCUUGUAGCUUACUCGCUUAUGUUAUUUUACCUACGCUUAGGAUGUUGAACUACUGAGACAUAGA
rnacentral:rRNA from 1 species